UUAAAUAGGCUUGCCCAAGGAGGUUC
rnacentral:piRNA from 1 species